AUUGAACGCUGGCGGCAGGCUUAACACAUGCAAGUCGAGCGGAGAUGAGGUGCUUGCACCUUAUCUUAGCGGCGGACGGGUGAGUAAUGCUUCGGAAUCUGCCUAUUAGUGGGGGACAACAUUCCGAAAGGAAUGCUAAUACCGCAUACGUCUUACGGGCGAAAGCAGGGGAUCUUCGGACCUUGCGCUAAUAGAUGAGCCGAAGACGGAUUAGCUAGUUGGUGGGGUAAAGGCCUACCAAGGCGACGAGCUGUAGCGGGUCGGAGAGGAUGAGCCGCCACACUGGGACGGAGACACGGCCCAGACUCCUACGGGAGGCAGCAGCGGGGAAUAUUGGACAAUGGGGGGAACCCUGAUCCAGCCAUGCCGCGUGUGUGAAGAAGGCCUUAUGGUUGUAAAGCACUUUAAGCGAGGAGGAGGCUACUGAGACUAAUACUCUUGGAUAGUGGACGUUACUCGCAGAAUAAGCACCGGCUAACUCUGUGCCAGCCGCCGCCGUAAUAC
rnacentral:rRNA from 1 species